rnacentral:rRNA from 1 species
AUAAACCUGCACCAAUAACACCACCAAAUAUUCUAAAUGCUUGAACUGUUAAAAUUAAAUUUCUUAUUUGACAAAAUUUAAGCAUCCUUUUAUAAAACCUCAACUAAAGUUGUGAUUAAUAGAAAUGACUGAAACGAAUCAAAGCCGUUUGUUGACUGUAGGUGAAGUUGCAAAACG